AGUGAACGCUGGCGGUAGGCCUAACACAUGCAAGUCGAACGGCAGCACAGUAAGAGCUUGCUCUUACGGGUGGCGAGUGGCGGACGGGUGAGGAAUACAUCGGAAUCUACUUUUUCGUGGGGGAUAACGUAGGGAAACUUACGCUAAUACCGCAUACGACCUACGGGUGAAAGCAGGGGAUCUUCGGACCUUGCGCGAUUGAAUGAGCCGAUGUCGGAUUAGCUAGUUGGCGGGGUAAAGGCCCACCAAGGCGACGAUCCGUAGCUGGUGUGAGAGGAUGAUCAGCCACACUGGAACUGAGACAGGGUCCAGACUCCUACGGGACGCAGCAGUGUGGAAUAUUGGACAAUGGGCGGAAGCCUGGUCCAGUCAUACCGCGUGGGUGACAAAGGCCUUCGGGUUGUAAAGACCUUUUGUUGGGAAAGAACAGCAGCAGGUUAAUACCCAGCGGUUCUGACGGUACCCAAAGAAUAAGCACCGGCUAACUUCGUG
rnacentral:rRNA from 1 species